rnacentral:lncRNA from 1 species
UUGCCUAGAGAAGGUCUAAGGAACUUUAAAGAAAACCAAAGUUAUUUUGAUGGAAAAAAGGUUUUGAAAUCCAUAUUUAAGAUGUAUAAGAUCACAAAAUAAAAGAAAAGAAACAUUAGGAGGGUAGGAUGUGUGGCAAAGUGGCCAUGCUAGAGUGAGGUUGGGAGGUGCACUUGAGACUGCAUUGCUGAAGCAGAUUCGUGAGAAGUCCUCUGCAAAUCACUGGUGUUAUUCUCUCUGGAUUUUCUC